GUGCACACUACAUGAAGAAAUCACGUUUUGGCACAGGAGAAUAGCCAUCACGCCGAGAGAUCUUUAGAUCACGUUUCGGGGCGAAGAAGAAAAGGAGCAGGCACGGAUUACGAGAACGAGAUUUUGGAAAAGAAAGCUCACGAACCACUGUUAAAGAAUUGAGGAACAACAUGGUCAUGGUUAAUUUUAUUUUCACGCUCUUUAUUUGUAUCUCUAUGUCUAGCUAAUUUCCUUUGAUUAGGUCUGAGAUGAUUCUUUGUAACCUAAUUGAAACAUGUUGCUGUGAAACUCUAUUUAUUGUGAAUGACAAUCUAGUUUUUAUUCAAUUCAAUUGUUCUUAA
rnacentral:lncRNA from 1 species